UACAGAGGUCUCAAGCGUUGUUCGGAUUCAUUGGGCGUAAAGGGUGCGUAGGUGGCGGGGUAAGUCAGGUGUGAAAUCUCGGAGCUCAACUCCGAAACUGCACUUGAUACUGCCUUGCUCGAGUACUGGAGAGGAGAUUGGAAUUUACGGUGUAGCAGUGAGAUGCGUAGAUAUCGUAAGGAAGACCAGUGGCGAAGGCGAAUCUCUGGACAGUUACUGACACUGAGGCACGAAGGCCAGGGGAGCAAACGGG
rnacentral:rRNA from 1 species